rnacentral:rRNA from 1 species
AUUGAACGCUGGCGGCAGGCUUAACACAUGCAAGUCGAGCGGGGUGAUGGUGCUUGCACUAUCACUUAGCGGCGGACGGGUGAGUAAUGCUUAGGAAUCUGCCUAUUAGUGGGGGACAACAUCUCGAAAGGGAUGCUAAUACCGCAUACGUCCUACGGGAGAAAGCAGGGGAUCACUUGUGACCUUGCGCUAAUAGAUGAGCCUAAGUCGGAUUAGCUAGUUGGUGGGGUAAAGGCCUACCAAGGCGACGAUCUGUAGCGGGUCUGAGAGGAUGAUCCGCCACACUGGGAUUGAGACACGGCCCAGACUCCUACGGGAGGCAGCAGUGGGGAAUAUUGGAUAAUGGGGGGAACCCUGAUCCAGCCAUGCCGCGUGUGUGAAGAAGGCCUUAUGGUUGUAAAGCACUUUAAGCGAGGAGGAGGCUCUUUUGGUUAAUACCCAAGAUGAGUGGACGUUACUCGCAGAAUAAGCACCGGCUAACUCUGUGCCAGCAGCCGCAGUAA